rnacentral:tRNA from 1 species
GGGCUAUUAGCUCAGGUGGUUAGAGCGCACCCUGAUAAGGGUGAGGUCCCUGGUCGAGUCCAGGAUGGCCCACCU